UCCUGGUUAACCCAGGCAGUCUCACUAGAGUCCCCGCCUUUCGCGUUGGCAACUAAUGAUAAGGGUUGCGCUCGUUGCGGGACUUAACCCAACACCUCACGGCACGAGCUGACGACAGCCAUGCAGCACCUGUACAAAGGCCCUUACGAGCGCUAACAUUUCUGCUAGCUUCCUCUGUAUUUCAAAUCCAGGUAAGGUUCUUCGCGUUGCAUCGAAUUAAACCACAUGCUCCACUGCUUGUGCGGGCCCCCGUCAAUUCUUUUGAGUUUCACCCUUGCGAGCGUACUCCCCAGGCGGUAUACUUAUCGCGUUAGCUACGACACAAUCAGGGUUGAGCCUAAUUACAUCAAGUAUACAUCGUUUACGGCAAGGACUAC
rnacentral:misc_RNA from 1 species